GCCCCCGUAGCUCAACGGACAAGAGCGAGGGCCUUCGAAGCCCAGGGUUGCACGUUCAAGUCGUGCCGGGGGUG
rnacentral:tRNA from 1 species